UCAUCAGUGAGGUUACUCUUUGCCUGUUUCUUCUUUAGGAAAAAAUGGAACAUGAUGUUUUGGGCUAAUGAGGUUGUGAUUAAAUUACUCUGGUUUGUAGAGUGCAGCAAACUCUACACUAAUCUUACCUGAU